AUCAGUGUACCUUCAAGUAGAAUGUAGUUGGCAGCUUGUGUCUGUGUGUGUUGUUGUUCUUUUUUUUUAUUUUUUUUUACAAAGAACUUGCAUACAAUUCAUUUGAUUGAUAUCAUAGCAUUUAUAAACUCCUUUAACCAGAUAUCAAUUUAUGCAUGAGGGAUUUUAUUUUUUGACAUCAAAUGUAUGAUGGAUAAGUAAUUAAUGUAGUAUGAUCAUCUAAGUCGUCAAC
rnacentral:lncRNA from 1 species